UCGAGAAUCUUCGGCAAUGGGCGAAAGCCUGACCGAGCGACGCCGCGUGGAGGAUGAAGGCCUUACAGGUUGUAAACUCCUGUUGGGGGGAAACAAACAAUGAGUGAACCCCUGAGGAAGCACGGGCUAAGUUCGUGCCAGCAGCCGCGGUAAGACGAACCGUGCAAACGUUAUUCGGAAUCAUUGGGCUUAAAGAGCGCGUAGGCGGCGUCGUAAGUUGGAGGUGAAAUCCCACGGCUCAACCGUGGAACUGCCCCCAAUACUGCGAUGCUUGAGGGAGGUAGGGGCCUGUGGAACUUCCGGUGGAGCGGUGAAAUGUGUUGAGAUCGGAAGGAACGCCAGCGGCGAAAGCGGCAGGCUGGAUCUCUUCUGACGCUGAGGCGCGAAAGCUAGGGUAGCGAACGGGAUUAGAUACCCCCGUAGUCC
rnacentral:rRNA from 1 species